AAAUCUCCCACCUCGUGUUCACGUGUUCCCGACUCACAGAAACCCUAGCGAGGAGAUCCUCCUUGUAGCGAUCCUCCGUGCGGCGAACCUCCUUGCGGCGAUCCUCCCUUCGGCGAUCUUGCGGUGAUCUAGCAGCGUUCUUCCUUGUCGCGAAGGCUACCCCACUCGCGAACUCUUUCCCCCCUUCGCGAAGAGCUAGCGGCUUCCCCCUCGGAAGGCAUCCCAGUCGCGAACAUUCCCCACUCCUCUUCUUGAAAAAGGUGUGUUCUUCUUGGUGUGAGUUUUGGUGCAAACAUUGUUGAUUUUGUUGCUCGAAAAGCAGUCGAGGCAGGAAAGCUGAUUGAAUCGGUUAAGGUUGUCGUUCAGGUGUUGAUGUAUCCCUUCUUCGCAGGAACUAUUCCCAUCCAUUAUGAACUAAAGCUAGCUGGUUAAAUUCUUUCUUGCUCUUUCCUUUUGUUUACCUGUGAAUUAAAAUUCAGAAACCAUGGAAUUACCAAAAUAGAGCUCGCUUUGUCAUAAAAUUGCGUUUGUUUACAUUGUCUAUUUUUCAUAAGGUUUUAUUUGUUA